GAGCCACCAUGUACCCCCUCCCUCCUCUCCCCAACCCUCUCCCAGCGCAUCCUCCGUCCUCGGUAGCUCCCAGGUCUCCCAUGGUGCCCCGAGGUGCACCACGCUCCCCUUCAUGCUUCUUUUCCCUCCAGGGUCCCUCCUCGGGCCUCUCUCUCCUCUCCGCACCUCCUAGUUUGGGGGGUGUCCUGCAGCCAGGCACCCAGAGUGCAGGCGGAUUGGAGACCGAGAUCACCUUCUCUGGUGUUUUGCCUUGUUCCCAGAUAACAGGGUCAAAGACCUGCCUGUCUUGGGGUGCGGGCAGGAGGGAAGAUGGUGUUGCAGUUGCUGAAGAGGAAGGAAACCCCGGAAAGGACUCAGCAGGCCUCACGGGCAGGGGCUGCGGCAAGAACUUGGCAUGUCGUGCAGCAUAAGCUGUUUGAAUUUGAGAGGGAGGUUGGUGUGUGGUGACAUCAGAUGAGCAGCGUGGGCCUUUGCACGGUCUGACUCAUGUUUAGGAGGGCUGACAGUAGCAAUCAGCACGUAGAGCUGCAGUAGGCAAGGGUGCAACAAAAUAACCACUAAUUCCUGAGAUGUGCUAGAAACCUUUGCAAAUAGUGUGAGUUUAGCUCAAUCUCAUGACUGUUUUAUCUGUGCUUUUGAUUUUGUGUUUUCAUUUUGUUUUGGGGCUGGCAAUGUGAAAUGAAGCAGCACUUGAAAGCAAAAAACAUUUGAAAUGGAGAAAUAGAUUUAAGAUAAUUGUCCUGAAGUGCCUAACUAGACUGUUGUGCAGUCUUAUUCCAGCUUUGCCGUCUUUCUUUCAUGCUCUGCCUUUUCUGAAAGCUCAGUCACAAUGUGGUUGGUUUUUUUAACUCUGUUCUUCCUACAUUGGCAACUAGUGUUUGAAUUGGAGUAUAUGGGCUGUGCCUCUGUAGACACUUAGCAGAGUCCAAAUAAUCUAAAAUGGAAGACUCAUCCAGUGUCAUGUUUUAGACAAAAUCAUCCAGGAAAGCCUUGUAACAUCACUAACACAAAAAGAUCUGGAAGUAGGCCCUGGAUACAUGUACAGGUAUCACUUUACCAGCCACUGAAUUACAGCCAUCUCUUGGGUGGAAAACAACAGCUGUUUCAUCAUGUACAGCAAUACUAGCAAAACACAAGACUCGGAGAUUAGUAAUGGCAUCUGAAAAUCCACAUAUAUGCAAAAAUAUUUCAUCCAUUGCUAGGGAAGCUUACAUAGUAGCUACACCUUUGAUCCAUUCCUACUGGUUUAAGUGCUUGUAUUUGCCAGUUAGCAAGUUUUAAACACGUAUAGAUAGGCUACAAUAGAUUAUGAAGGUUAUGAUGUUUUCUUCUGUCAUUUGAACAGGUUUGGAUUCUUUUCUGUUUCACCUUGGCCAAAAUAUAGACUAAAAGAUAGUAUCUGGACUUGCAAUGACAUGCUAAAUAAUGUUUAAAAAUAAUUACAAAAGCCACAAGUUAGCAGCAGAAUUAGUAACAUAUAGGAUAUAAAAAGGAAAUAAAAAAUCCUAUUCCUGCAUUUUAUUGAAUUACAAAUUUUGUUAUAGUAAGAAUCAAAUAUAGUAGGUCAAAUACAUAGUGAUUUUGCCUCCAUUGCAUAUGGAAAAUAAAAAAAAUCUCAAAAGAGUUGAAAUAUGUCAGGAAUAAAUAGUAUUUCAUUAUAAACCAGUUUUUGUGCAGUACUGCAUGGGGCUGGACUGAUGCUGGAGAACCAGCAGAAUCCCCUUCCCAUCCAGAGGAUUCUAAGGCACGGAGAGAUUUUCAGUUUGGAAGGAACUCCCACAAUUAGCUGUUCUGAACUUGUAUUCAUGCAGGCUAUGUGCAUCCUUCAAGUAAUUCCCCCCUCGGUUUCAAUAACCGUGGUUGAACUAGGCCAGAUCUUCCAGGUAGAAGAUCCCACAUUCUACCUACAUAUGAGAAAAAGGUGUCUUGUUUAAGAUCAUGAAUAUUCUCUGAUGAGACCCUGCUUCAACUUGCUAGGCUACAGACUAUCAAGUGCAUUUGGUUUAGGAAGAAUGGAUAAAUGUACGGUACCACUUUACCUUUUUAUUACAUAUAAAUACAUUUAUGCUUUUUGUGUUACCUGUUGGCAGAUUCCACCCUCGGAGCAUGGCCAAAUAGUUGUAGCACAACUGAGGAGGUGAGGAGCUCUUAAAGUACAUCAGCUGCUGAUGAAAUAAAAACUCGGCAGAAUAGUCCCUUAAGAAGGUCCCAUCCCUCUUUCCCCAUGCCCAGCUGCUCCUUCUUCCUGUCACCAGAAGCUUCUGACCCCAUUAGAUGGGCUGAAUGCCAAACAAAUUGUGCAUGUGGCUGGUCUCUAAGUAAGGAGAAGUAAAUUUCUGUUGAGGGUAUAGAAUGAGAAUCCUUAUUUGUUUCAAAUCAAGUACUGGGUAUAUUUUCAAUGCAAAAUUAAUGACCCUAAUUUGAACCAUGAGGAAAUGGGAAAGGAUAUGUUGGAUUUGGAGGUAGACAGCUGGAGAAGAAAUGCAGUAGUGAAAGCAGAUACGAAACAAAAACUGAAGCAAUCACAAUUACUUCUCCAAAUCUGGAAGCCUGAAAUACUUCAGGAUACAAGUCCACUAAUUACAAAUCUAGCAAAUGUGCCUAUACAGCUUUGCCUCUGUGCUGGCAGGAAAUAGCAACAUAAAUCAUCAAGAAACCUAGUUAUUAUUCUUCUGGACUUCCUAAUGUAUCAUCAGUUUGAGUGUUGGUAUUUUGACCAUUCUGUUCUGGAAGAGUUGUUUGGCUAUUAUCUUACAGAUCAGAAAUAAAGCUUUCUUAAUUCAUUGUCCAUCUGUCCACAACGUCUUGUGCUAUACUGCCUCUGAGGGCUACCUGUAAAAAAUGAAUGCUUUUUACUGUAAGAUACAAGACUGGCAUAUUUAGGAGAUCAGGGAAUUUAUAAACAAAAAAAUACAGAAUCAGCCUAAAAUCUGUAUGAAUACAUUAUUUUCUUGAGACAACACAAAGUUUAAGUGAGCUCUUGAAGGCUAGGUUCCUGAAGCAUUAUUCUUGAUAGGAAAAGCAAUCAAUAAUCAUUAUAGCUCUGCAUAUCAAUCUAUAAUCUCUCCUGAAUUUUUUUUAUAUAGGUCGCUAGUAAACAAGAAGAACGAAGUGCUUUAUACGUGCUAAGUUAGAUAAAAUUGCCAAUUUUAAAGCAAAGCAAUUUUAUUAUUUUUUAGCCUAUGCGUUAGUUUGAAAAGGUACAUGCUGGACUAAAGUGAGCUACUGCUAAACGACUGGGAUGGUUGGAGCUAAGCUAAACUCUGUGGUUUUUUACCUAAACAAAAUACAUGCAAGUAAGAUAGUGCAUACCAUGACUUUCAACAGUCACCUUACGCUCAAAUGAAAAGAAAUCUUGGGAGUGAAAGCAAUGGAAGUUUUGUUUUUAUCAAAUCAAAAUACAUAAUACCUGCCUUAGGUUUAGUUCAUGUAACUUAGGGGUAUUGUACCAGUUACUAAAAAACAUAGAAAAAAUAAUGCAGCACUUCUCCCUAAGGUAGAUGAUCUGCUUUAAGGAAAAGUAAUUUCCGUGUAACUACAUUCUAAGCCUUAUAUUUAUUUGCUUUACACAGCAUCCAACUGCAACAUUUAUUAAAUAAUGCAAUCACAAAAUUGCAUAUACUGAUAAGUGGAAAAACAGACUACCUGACUAUCUAAAAAUCAGUAUUCAAACACAGGAGUGAUAGGGUAGAAGCUGGGAAAAAAAAAGCCCAGGAGUUUUCUCAAGAUGUUUCUUUAGCUUAAUAAUUACUCACUAAUGUCUUAUAUUCUCUUAUGUUAUCUAACAAUUAGCCUAUCAGCUUGGUUAUUUGUAAUAGUAAGUAAUACCCUCUAGUGGUAUACAUGGGAAAGGGAGCCAGACAAAGAAUGAUUACUUUUUUUUUUUAUCGUGAAAGAGGCUAAAUAACAUUUUCACUUCUAUGACAUAGGGUAUCACUGGUCUGUCGAGAAGUGCUAGUUAAAAUGGAAAAUGCACUGCAAGCAUUAGACUUGAAUUAGAUGUCUGGGUUUAGUUAGAACAGCUAGGUCUAGAACAUGACCUGGACCACUGCAAGUCUGGAACUACUUGUUUGCAGACAAAACAAAUUGCCACUGCAACACUUGCAGCCUGGAAGGGGUGGUUUUCCUGAUGUCCAGGUCAGAGAGAUCUGUCUGAACAUCAGAGGGCAACAUUUAAUUCCUACACAUUAAGGUUAGUAGACCUUGGAGUAGUGUUAUCUAACAGAGUUAAAAGUAAUUCUUUAGGCAAAAUAGGAAUACUUGUCAGUCUCCAAUAUUGCAGUGUAAUAAAGCCUGUAUUUCCAGCCUCCACGUGCCAUUCAGAGCUAAUUAUCAAAA